UAUGUUGGUCAUGGGUGUGAAAAAUCAGCCCCCCCCCCUUGACUGACAUGGCUACGCCAACCUACCCCCCCAGUGUAGACACAGCUAUGUCAGUGGAAGAAUGCUUCUAUCGCUAUAGCAACCGUUGUUAGGGGAGGUGCUGUUCCUACAGAAAGGGAAAAUCGCCAUUUUGGAAAAUGGAGGAACGGCUGUGUCUACACGACGGAGUUCUGCCGCCACAGCUACGGCGCUAGAGUCUCUAUCGUGUGGCUGUGGGCUGAGUCAAGGUCCGAAAUCCGAAGUUCAGGAGAUAGCGAACACAAAAGGAACUUCCACAACCCCAACCCUGCUGUCUGCCCGAGACUAGCAUGGAGAAUGUCUCACCGUUUGAAGCCAAGGUCAGACUUUCAGUGCAUUACAGCUGCUUUCAACUGGACUGGAAACAUUUUUCUCCUUAAACAAGGAGUGAAUGUGAUCUAGUAGUCUGGGCACAGAAACCCUAAUUCCGCAAACCACUUAAUCACAGACUUAAAUCAGUAGGAUUUAAGCAUGUUCUUAAAGGUAAGCAGCUGCUUAAGUGAUCUGUUGAAUCAGGGCAGGGUGGGGAGUCAGGACUCCUGGGUCCUAUCCAUAGCUUGGCCACUGACUUGUAGCUUGGGCAAAUACGUCCCUGACCCAUUGUAAAAUGAGCAUGUUAAAGCUACGCCUUAUGUGUUACUUGCUUUGAGAUCUACAGAUGAAAAAUCCUCUAUAACUGAGGAAUGCUCGAUAUCUUUUUUAAAACUAUCUUUUAAACAACACAUCUGUUCAGUAAGAUGGAAGAGCCAGUUGAAAUUAUAAUCCCGUCUAGCUAUUUUGAACUACAGUGUGUUUUUUCACUCCUCGGUGUCUAACUGGGAAUUGGAGCUGAGGUAGAAUAUAAUUAUCCGAGUUCGGAUGCGGCCAGGACACCAGAGUUAACUCUUACCAAAAAGCGCCACAGGAUCAUUAAAGCCACAAGUAGCCCGGACCUUCAUUUAAAGUCUUGUCUGAUAAGCACAAGCACCCUUUUGGCUAGACGUGACGAGGAAACAGACUGAAAGUUGGAAAGGAGACCACAAGGAAUACUCAGGCCAGAACGAGCAGGAAAGGAGAGGGAGGGAGGAGGGAAUAAGGAAUAAAAGGAGAGUUGGCCUGCGAAGUGAGAGAGGGAGGGGGAAUAGAAAAUAGAGACAGCUGGUAUGUUAUGAUCACAAAGUCCUUGCCAGGAGCAACCUAUCAGGGGAAAAUUCAGCCUUCUGGCAGAACUACAGCAGCUAACUUGAAUGUCUGUUUUAAGUGUCUUCGUUUAAGUGAAAUCCCUUCUUCCAGACAGCCUAGAAAAGAACCCUAUGCUAACUGUUUUACAGCAGCGCCCGAAGGUCCCGUUCAAGACCGGGAUAAGAGACCGUCUCUGCCCUGAAGAACUUACAAUCUAAGUAGACCAAGCGUGGGAAAGGGGCACAGACUGUAUAUCUACAGUGCAAAAAAACCCCAAAACAACUCUGCCGCACAGCGUCUCCGAGCCCAGGUCUGCAGACUUGGGUUUGCAGGGCUAAAAAUAACCGUGCGGACAUUCCCGUUCGGGCGGGGAGCUUGGGCUCUGAAAUUUGGGUUGGGGGGUGGUGAGGAUGAGACUUGCUGCCAUGUAGACAUACCCAGAUAGGGGAAGGGACUUGCUUGAAGUCUGUCAGCCGGUCAGUGGCAGAGUUGGGACUUGAACAAAGUCUCCUGACUCUCAGUCCAGCAUCCUAACUACUGAACCCUCCUGCCUCUGGCCGGCCCAGGUCUCCAAGGCACCCAGGUAACACUGCUGCAAACCAUGAUCAGGUGGAGUGUUGUGGGGACGCGGGAGGGCACUUUAGGUGCCACUCCGCCAGUCUUUGAAUGCAGGCUGAAGGAAGUGGGGGCCGUUUGGGUGAAGCAGGGCUCUUGGGGGCGGCUCCAUUGCGGGGCUGGUAGAGAGUAGAUAAUAAACGGGUUGGGGGAGCUAGGAAAGCAGAACGGGGAAGCAGGCUCGUGUUCUGGACCCUGUAUCGGAGGCUGCGAAGGGCUUGAUGGAGCUGAAGGAGAGGGAGAGAAAAGGCAGGUCCAUGGCUUGGGACUCCCCAUGGAGAAUUCUCCUGUUUCCCUCAGCUCCCUGCUGUGCCUCUGAGGUUGCUGGUCCCUCUUGCUGCGCUGGCUGGUUUUCAGCAGAGGGCAGUGUUGUAGUGCGUCUGGCCGACACGAGCGCCGGCUUCUCGGGUCCAUCACAGGGAGAAACUCGUUCUAGGAAUGGAAAUAAAAUGGCUUUUCUGCUGCCCCGGCCUCUCGUCUCACAAGGCUGCUGACCUGCUGUCCUUCGAGCUGGCGCACGCCCACCAAACCUGCCAGGCAGCUCAGCGUCUUUAGCCCUGCAUCCAGAGGAUAAGCGGAGGCACCAAGAGGUGGAAGUCAGUGGCAGGGCUGGGAGCUAGCUGGGAAGAGAACCCAGGAGUCCUGAGAACUAGGCAAUGCUCUCUGCAUCAAGCAGCCGCC